rnacentral:lncRNA from 1 species
GUGCCUUAUAACAUGUCUUUAUAACUGGCUGUGUAAGAAUGAAGAAAAGCUGUCCAUCUUCUGAGAAGGAAGCAGCAUGUGCCAUCCUUCUGUCAGAAAACACCAAAGAGAUGAAGAAAUGAGAAAUCCAGAAACCAAAGACCUUGCUCUUUUGUCAAACAGACUUGGUAGAGCAGAGUUGCAAAAUCAGACCUUUGGGGGCUUGCGUGUUUCUCCUCUUACUCCCUGGUGUAGAAGCCCUGCCUUGAACUUCAGGCUGCCUGGCUUGGAUCCUGAUGCUGCUUUGCUGACACAAUCCAUUCUCCCAGGGAACACCCAGAGUUCCACUCCAGCCCUGGCAACGCUGCAGCAGAGUAGGCCAACUGUACGGAAAGUCUACAUUGGCUCGGAACAAUUGAGGCUGGGAGAGGCUGGUGAUUUCCUGCUUGGUCGUCUUUUAAAACCCAGCCAUCUGAAUCCGAGAGUUGCUUCUUCAGCAAGGCCUCCCCUGACUCCUUCAGAUGUCUAAGCACCACCCCUACUCUUCUGCUGCAGCAUCUCCACUUGCUUUUGUCCUUCAUCUCCCUGAAAUUAUUUGCUUACUCAUCCAUCCAUGUCAGUUGCAAAAGCAUGACUUCCUCUAGUCCAAAGGCCAUUCAUGUUCAAUAUGUUAGCACUCGGAGCGUCUCCAGUGGUUGUUUCAAACAAGGCAAAUGAGUUCAGUUGAACUUUAUAUGUUCUGCCCUCCGACUGUGACUGUUAUUUACUUCCCUCCAAACAAAAUGUAAUAAUAAAAUGACUAACUGA